GUGAAUAAUAGGGUGUCUCAUUUAACUGAGAACCCGAUCUUCCACUUUCUAACCCUGUGCAUCUGUUAAUGGCGAGCAGUCUUCGGAUUGUGAGCCUUCACUUAUAAACACUAGUCUAUGAAUGUAAACUUUUAUAACUAUAUA
rnacentral:misc_RNA from 1 species